UCUCGAUAGCGUGAAAGUUAACGCAAAUUUGUAUGCAAUUGGAAAGUAUGCCUACGUUUGCCGCUAGGGGCGCUGUUUCAACUGCAUACAAAUUCGAGUUAACUCUUACGCUAUCGA
rnacentral:pre_miRNA from 9 species